rnacentral:rRNA from 1 species
GAUGAACGCUGGCGGCGUGCCUAAUACAUGCAAGUAGAACGCUGAAGGAGGAGCUUGCUCUUCUGGAUGAGUUGCGAACGGGUGAGUAACGCGUAGGUAACCUGCCUGGUAGCGGGGGAUAACUAUUGGAAACGAUAGCUGAUACCGCAUGACAACAGUUAUUGCAUGAUAACUGUUUAAAAGGGGCAACUGCUCCACUACCAGAUGGACCUGCGUUGUAUUAGCUAGUUGGUGAGGUAACGGCUCACCAAGGCGACGAUACAUAGCCGACCUGAGAGGGUGAUCGGCCACACUGGGACUGAGACACGGCCCAGACUCCUACGGGAGGCAGCAGUAGGGAAUCUUCGGCAAUGGACGGAAGUCUGACCGAGCAACGCCGCGUGAGUGAAGAAGGUUUUCGGAUCGUAAAGCUCUGUUGUAAGAGAAGAACGAGUGUGAGAGUGGAAAGUUCACACUGUGACGGUAUCUGACCAGAAAGGGACGGCUAACUACGUG